CAACCUAAUAGCUUUCUUUGACAGAGUAACAAGCUUUGUGGAUAGGGGGAAGUGGUGGAUAUGGUAUAUCUUGACUUUAAUAAGGCUUUUGAUACUGUCUCGCAUGACCUUGUCAUAAACAAGCUAGGGAAAUUCAACCUAGAUGGACCUACUAUAAUGUGGGUGAAUAGCUGGUUGAAAGUAGUUAUGAGCUGGUUCACAAACAAGCUG